rnacentral:sRNA from 1 species
GAAAAAUAUCAAAUUUGAAAGGAAGUUUCGAAGAUGAGGAGUUUGUUCAUUGGAAUUCUAUGCAUUGCCUUUAUCCUAAUUGCUUCAGGGCCAACAACAUGUGUAGGGCGUGUUGUCCUACCGCCGGGUAGCGUUUGCAUAGGGCCAUGCAACGGCGAUUGCGCGAAAGAAUGCAUUACGAGGGGAUUUCAUGGUGGAUCCUGUUUUCCUAUGUGUUGUUGUACUAAAAAUUAAACUAUCAUAUUUU